UAUAUGUCUGGCUAUAUGGAUCAGUGGAUGUGCGCAAAUGGAACUGGCGCAAAACUGCUUUUACUGGCAAGUGGAGUAUGAUCUUCCAUCACCAGGCCCCUUGUUUGUUCAUUUCUCAGCAGUAAGAACAGCCUAUACAAGAGAAAGAAUGAAAAGAGGGAGAGAGUCAGAGGUCGGCACAAAGGAUGGAUGAAAAUGAUCACAAACUCAGACAGUGAUUGCCAGAGGCGCUCCUCCUUCUCUACAAGUCCAUCGCUGGGAGAGGUGGUGGUGCGCGGAGGCCAGCCAGAGCGAAGCAUCAUGGGCUUGAGAGGAACGCAGAACUGCGCUCAGUCUACAACACCUCCAGAGGACUGAGUUCGCUGAGAAAUCAAUAGAGGAAAAGACAGACUGAUGGUGGAUCGCCCGGCCUCGCCUCGAACCUGGAGGCCGAAUGACCUCACAUACAUAACAGCACAUGAAGAUGUACAGUUAUUCCACGCUCACAUACACGAAUCCUGCUGAAUCCUGACUCCCACAUGUGUGUUUGUGUGUGAGCUUUACCUCAGGGGCAUGUUAUUCAGGAGCAGCCUGUACAGUUCAAACCAUUAUUUUUUUCCUGAACAUCAAAGAUCGUGAAAUAUCCUUUCCUCCUCUCGCACCACAACGGGACCUUCAUCCCUGACACCUUCUACAUCCAGAUAGUUGCAAUAUGUCUGUACAAUUUGGCAAGGCUUAAAAGGGAAACAGCUGGAUCGUGUCUUAUCAGGCACUAGAGACUCCAGAUUGACGACCACCAAGAACAACAACCAUCACAAAGACAGCAACGAAACAAGCUGUGAUUUCUGUAUAUGAACUGAAGUGCAGGACUCCACAAACACUUGAUAAGAAGAAAAAUGACAAACGCAUGGAGCAGAACACAAGAACGGAACUUCAGCACAGAUAUUUAGCUGAUGUGAUGUAGAUGACGAAAUGAUGAACUGGCCCCUCUGAUGAGACUGAGACCUUUUGAUGAGACCGGAGAUGUC